rnacentral:rRNA from 1 species
CGCACGGGUGAGUAACACGUAAGUAAUCUACCUUCGAGUGGGGAAUAACGUUCGGAAACGGACGCUAAUACCGCAUAAUGCAGCGGCACCUUAUGGUGACAGUUGUUAAAGGAGCAAUUCGCUUGAAGAGGAGCUUGCGGCAGAUUAGCUAGUUGGUAAGGUAACGGCUUACCAAGGCUACGAUCUGUAACCGGUCUAAGAGGACGGUCGGUCACACUGACACUGAAUAACGGGUCAG